ensembl:snRNA U1 U1 spliceosomal RNA
AUACUUACCUGGCAUGAGAGACACCAUGAUCAUGAAGGUGGUUUUCCCACGGUGAGGCUCAGCCAUUGCAUUACAGAUAUGCUGACCCUGUGAUUGCCCCAAAUGUUGGAAAUUUGACUACACAAUUAGUGGUAGUGAGGGACUGUGUUUAAACUCUCCCCUG